CUAUCCCUGCACUGUAAUCAAAGUAGCAAUGAAGAUUCUCCACAGCAGCAAAAUAAUCGUCAUGAUAAAGGCUAUUUAAGUAAUGUAAAUAGUGAACACGACGAUGCAACUCAGGUGCCAACUUUUUAAUCUGCCUUAAAAUAAGUUCAAAAGUAUUAAAAGAGACAGAACCGCCAUGCUUCUCAAUUGCAUCUGCUUGCUCCGUUAAGUACCCC
rnacentral:misc_RNA from 1 species